rnacentral:misc_RNA from 1 species
GAACUAACCAGUGCCCCCACAUCUCG